rnacentral:rRNA from 1 species
AACGAACGCUGGCGGCAGGCCUAACACAUGCAAGUCGAGCGAGACCUUCGGGUCUAGCGGCGGACGGGUGAGUAACGCGUGGGAACGUGCCCUUUUCUACGGAAUAGCCUCGGGAAACUGAGCGUAAUACCGUAUACGCCCUUUGGGGGAAAGAUUUAUCGGAAAAGGAUCGGCCCGCGUUGGAUUAGGUAGUUGGUGGGGUAAUGGCCUACCAAGCCUACGAUCCAUAGCUGGUUUGAGAGGAUGAUCAGCCACACUGGGACUGAGACACGGCCCAGACUCCUACGGGAGGCAGCAGUGGGGAAUCUUAGACAAUGGGGGCAACCCUGAUCUAGCCAUGCCGCGUGAGUGAUGAAGGCCUUAGGGUUGUAAAGCUCUUUCAGCUGGGAAGAUAAUGACGGUACCAGCAGAAGAAGCCCCGGCUAACUCCGUGCCAGCCGCCGCCGUAAGAC